rnacentral:rRNA from 1 species
GACGAACGCUGGCGGCGGGCUUAACACAUGCAAGUCGAACGGAAAGGCCCUGCUUUUGGGGGGUGCUCGAGUGGCGAACGGGUGAGUAAGACGUGAGUAACCUGCCCUUGACUUUGGGAUAACUUCAGGAAACUGGGGCUAAUACCGGAUAGGAGCUCCUGCUGCAUGGUGGGGGUUGGAAAGGUGCGGCGGGUGGGGAUGGACUCGCGGCUUAUCAGCUUGCUGGUGGGGGAGUGGUUUACCAAGGCUUUGACGGGUAGACGGCCUGAGAGGGUGACCGGCCACCUUGGGCCUGCGGUACGGCCCAGACUCCUACGGGAGGCAGCAGUCGCGAAUCUUGCGCAGUGGGCGCACGCCUGAUGCAGCAACGCCGCGUGCGGGAUGACGGCCUUCGGGUUGUAAACCGCUUUCGCCUGUGACGAAGCGUGAGUGACGUUACUGGGUAAAGAAGCACCGGCUAACUACGUG